CGGCGGACGGGUGAGUAACGCGUGGGUAACCUGCCUUAUACAGGGGGAUAACAGUUAGAAAUGACUGCUAAUACCGCAUAAGCGCACAGUACCGCAUGGUACGGUGUGAAAAACUCCGGUGGUAUAAGAUGGACCCGCGUCUGAUUAGCCAGUUGGCGGGGUAACGGCCCACCAAAGCGACGAUCAGUAGCCAACCUGAGAGGGUGACCGGCCACAUUGGGACUGAGACACGGCCCAAACUCCUACGGGAGGCAGCAG
rnacentral:rRNA from 1 species